UGAGCAAUCUGCCCUUCUCUUCGGAAUAAGCGUGGGAAACCGCGUCUAAUGCCGAAUACGACCUCCUUUCACAUGAUCGGAGGUGGAAAGCUCCGGCGGAGAAGGAUGAGCUCGCGGCCUAUCAGCUAGUUGGUGUGGGUAACGCCCACCAAGGCGACGACGGGUAGCCGGCCUGAGAGGGUGACCGGCCACACUGGGACUGAGACACGGCCCAGACUCCGUACGGGAGCAGCAGG
rnacentral:rRNA from 1 species